GGGGGCGACUUGGCUUCGACGCCGGUUGCGAAACCUGAAGUGCAUGUCGAGAGGGUAGUGACUCUCGUAAAUCAAUCGCUGUAACUACUUAUAGUUGCCAAUGACGAAAACUACGCACUCGCCGCUUAAUUAGCUCUUAACGAGCCGUUUAGGCUAAGCGAAACCCGGGGCGAAUGUGCCCAUGUAUUCAAACCGGGUGCUCGACUCAUGGGAUCGCUGCCAGACCCCGCUUGUGGUUAAAGCAGCUAAACUAAAAGCAAGCUCGCCUUUCGAACCCUGUUUGCCGGGUCAGCGAAAGGUUAAAUAAUAGACAAACUAUGUAUGUAGAGCCGAAGGCAGAGAACUGACGGACGCGGGUUCGAUUCCCGCCGCCUCCACCA
rnacentral:tmRNA from 1 species